CAGUAGCCACGGGAAAACGAAGGGGGCUAGCGUUGUUCGGAAUUACUGGGCGUAAAGCGCGCGCAGGCGGUCUUCCAAGUCAGUGGUGAAAGCCCGGAGCUCAACUCCGGAAAUGCCAUUGAAACUGUAAGACUUGAGGAUGAGAGAGGUGAGUGGAAUUCCCAGUGUAGAGGUGAAAUUCGUAGAUAUUGGGAAGAACACCGGUGGCGAAGGCGGCUCACUGGCUCAUUUCUGACGCUCAGGCGCGACAGCGUGGGGAUCAAACAGGAUUAGAUACCCCUGUAGUCCCUGUCUCUUAUAC
rnacentral:rRNA from 1 species